rnacentral:rRNA from 1 species
UACGGGGGGAGCAAGCGUUGUUCGGAUUUACUGGGCGUAAAGGGCGCGUAGGCGGCGCAACAAGUCGAUUGUGAAAUCUCCGGGCUUAACUCGGAGCGGCCAAUCGAUACUGUCGUGCUAGAGUGCGGAAGGGGCUACUGGAAUUCUCGGUGUAGCGGUGAAAUGCGUAGAUAUCGAGAGGAACACCUGCGGCGAAGGCGGGUAGCUGGGCCGACACUGACGCUGAGGCGCGAAAGCUAGGGGAGCGAACGGG